rnacentral:rRNA from 1 species
GACGAACGCUGGCGGCGUGCCUAAUACAUGCAAGUUGAGCGCUGAAGGUUGGUACUUGUACCAACUGGAUGAGCAGCGAACGGGUGAGUAACGCGUGGGGAAUCUGCCUUUGAGCGGGGGACAACAUUUGGAAACGAAUGCUAAUACCGCAUAAAAACUUUAAACACAAGUUUUAAGUUUGAAAGAUGCAAUUGCAUCACUAAAAGAUGAUCCCGCGUUGUAUUAGCUAGUUGGUGAGGUAAAGGCUCACCAAGGCGAUGAUACAUAGCCGACCUGAGAGGGUGAUCGGCCACAUUGGGACUGAGACACGGCCCAAACUCCUACGGGAGGCAGCAGUAGGGAAUCUUCGGCAAUGGACGAAAGUCUGACCGAGCAACGCCGCGUGAGUGAAGAAGGUUUUCGGAUCGUAAAACUCUGUUGGUAGAGAAGAACGUUGGUGAGAGUGGAAAGCUCAUCAAGUGACGGGAACUACCCAGAAAGGGACGGCUAACUACGU